rnacentral:rRNA from 1 species
GACGGACGGUGCAAGCGUUGCUCGGAAUCACUGGGCGUAAAGAGCGCGCAGGCGGUCGUACAAGUCGCGUGUGAAAGCCCCCGGCUCAACUGGGGAGGGUCACGCGAUACUGUUCGACUCGAAGGCAGGAGAGGGAAGUGGAAUUCCCGGUGUAGUGGUGAAAUGCGUAGAUAUCGGGAGGAACACCAGUGGCGAAGGCGACUUCCUGGCCUGUUCUUGACGCUGAGGCGCGAAAGCUAGGGUAGCAAACGGG